rnacentral:tRNA from 1 species
GUAGUAUGUCUGAUUAAAGUAGUAAAUUGUAAAUUUAUUUAAGAAUGUUUAUUCUGCUAUCA